AGUGAACGCUGGCGGUAGGCCUAACACAUGCAAGUCGAACGGCAGCACAGUAAGAGCUUGCUCUUACGGGUGGCGAGUGGCGGACGGGUGAGGAAUACAUCGGAAUCUACUUUUUCGUGGGGGAUAACGUAGGGAAACUUACGCUAAUACCGCAUACGACCUACGGGUGAAAGCAGGGGAUCUUCGGACCUUGCGCGAUUGAAUGAGCCGAUGUCGGAUUAGCUAGUUGGCGGGGUAAAGGCCCACCAAGGCGACGAUCGGUAGCUGGUCUGAGAGGAUGGUCAGCCACACUGGAACUGAGACACGGUCCAGACUCCUACGGGAGGCAGCAGUGGGGAAUAUUGGACAAUGGGCGCAAGCCUGAUCCAGCCAUACCGCGUGGGUGAAGAAGGCCUUCGGGUUGUAAAGCCCUUUUGUUGGGAAAGAAAAGCAGCAGGUUAAUACCCCGCUGUUCUGACGGUACCCAAAGAAUAAGCACCGGCUAACUUCGU
rnacentral:rRNA from 1 species